rnacentral:rRNA from 1 species
CCUUCCGAAUGGACCCGCGCGCCAUUACCUAGUUGGUGAGGUAACGGCUCACCAAGGCACCAAUGCUUAGCCAACCGGAAAGGGGGUUCGGCCCCCCGGGGACGGAAACACGGCCCACACUCUUCCGGGAGGAGGGGGUAGGGAAUCUUCCCCAAGGGAGAAAAGCCUGAGGGACCACCCCCCCCGGGGGGUGAAAGGUUUUCGGGCCUCAAAACCUUUUUGUUAGGAAAAAAAAAUGACAAAGAGACUGCGUGCACCUUGCCAGUACCUCCCCCGAAAGCGACGCCCCACUUCGUGCCAGCACCCACGGUAAUACCUAGGUGGCAAGCGUUAUCCCGAAUUAUUUGGCGUAAAGGGGGCCCCCGCGGUUUCUUAAAUCUGAUGUGAAAACCCCCGGCUCAACCCGGGAGGGUCAUUGGAAACUGGGAAACUUGAAUGCAAAAAAAAAAAGCGGAAUUUCCACUUGUAGCGGUGAAAUGGAGAAAGAUAUGAGAGGAACACACACCCGCAAAGGGCGACUUUCUGGUCUGUAACUGACACUGAGGCGCGAAAUUCUUACCUCCGC